UACGUAGGGUGCAAGCGUUGUCCGGAAUUAUUGGGCGUAAAGAGCUCGUAGGCGGUUUGUCGCGUCUGCUGUGAAAACCCGAGGCUCAACCUCGGGCCUGCAGUCGAUACGGGCUGGCUUGAGUGCGGUAGGGGAGACUGGAAUUCCUGGUGUAGCGGUGAAGUGCGCAGAUAUCAGGAGGAACACCGGUGGCGAAGGCGGGUCUCUGGGCCGAAACCGACGCUGAGGAGCGAAAGCGUGGGGAGCAAACAGG
rnacentral:rRNA from 1 species